rnacentral:rRNA from 1 species
UACGUAGGGUGCAAGCGUUAAUCGGAAUUACUGGGCGUAAAGCGUGCGCAGGCGGUGAUGUAAGACAGAUGUGAAAUCCCCGGGCUCAACCUGGGAACUGCAUUUGUGACUGCAUGGCUAGAGUACGGUAGAGGGGGAUGGAAUUCCGCGUGUAGCAGUGAAAUGCGUAGAUAUGCGGAGGAACACCGAUGGCGAAGGCAAUCCCCUGGACCUGUACUGACGCUCAUGCACGAAAGCGUGGGGGAGCAAACAGG